UUAGAACGGUUCACGUGAUCGCUGGUGUGCAUCCGCACACGGGAGGAAAGUCCGAGCUUCAUAGGGCAGGAUGCCAGGUAACGCCUGGUGGGGGCGACCCCGAGGAAAGUGCCACAGAAAGCAAACCGCCUCGCCGUCGAAAGGCCGUGGGGCAAGGGUGAAAGGGUGAGGUAAGAGCUCACCGGGCUGGCGGUAACGUUGGUCGCACGGCAAACCCCAUCUGAAGCAAGACGAAAUAGGGAGGCGUUGAGGGUGGUCCCGCCCGAGUCUCCGGGUAGCGUCGCUCGAGGCCGAUGGCGACAUCGGUCCCAGAAGAAUGAUCACGACCCGCACCUCGGCGACGAGCGCGGGCUACAAAACUCGGCUUACGAACCUUCUAACCAC
rnacentral:RNase_P_RNA from 1 species